rnacentral:rRNA from 1 species
GACGAACGCUGGCGGCGUGCCUAAUACAUGCAAGUAGAACGCUGAAGAGAGGAGUUUGCUCUUCUUGGAAGAGUUGCGAACGGGUGAGUAACGCGUAGGUAACCUGCCUUGUAGCGGGGGAUAACUAUUGGAAACGAUAGCUAAUACCGCAUAACAAUGGGUGACCCAUGUCAUUCAUUUGAAAGGGGCAACUGCUCCACUACAAGAUGGACCUGCGUUGUAUUAGCUAGUAGGUGAGGUAACGGCUCACCUAGGCGACGAUACAUAGCCGACCUGAGAGGGUGAUCGGCCACACUGGGACUGAGACACGGCCCAGACUCCUACGGGAGGCAGCAGUAGGGAAUCUUCGGCAAUGGGGGCAACCCUGACCGAGCAACGCCGCGUGAGUGAAGAAGGUUUUCGGAUCGUAAAGCUCUGUUGUAAGUCAAGAACGAGUGUGAGAGUGGAAAGUUCACACUGUGACGGUAGCUUACCAGAAAGGGACGGCUAACUACGUGCCAGCAGCCGCGGUAAUACGUAGGUCCCGAGCGUUGUCCGGAUUUAUUGGGCGUAAAGCGAGCGCAGGCGGUUUGAUAAGUCUGAAGUUAAAGGCUGUGGCUCAACCAUAGUUCGCUUUGGAAACUGUCAAACUUGAGUGCAGAAGGGGAGAGUGGAAUUCCAUGUGUAGCGGUGAAAUGCGUAGAUAUAUGGAGGAACACCGGUGGCGAAAGCGGCUCCCUGGUCUGUAACUGACGCUGAGGCUCGAAAGCGUGGGGAGCGAACAGG